rnacentral:rRNA from 1 species
UACGGAGGGUGCAAGCGUUAUCCGGAUUCACUGGGUUUAAAGGGUGCGUAGGCGGAUAAGUAAGUCAGUGGUGAAAUCUCCGGGCUUAACCCGGAAACUGCCGUUGAUACUAUUUAUCUUGAAUAUCAUGGAGGUAAGCGGAAUAUGUCAUGUAGCGGUGAAAUGCUUAGAUAUGACAUAGAACACCGAUAGCGAAGGCAGCUUACUACAUGUUAAUUGACGCUGAGGCACGAAAGCGUGGGGAGCAAACAGG